AAUAGUGAGACACUUCCGAAUAUAGCAAAGUCCUGGAAAAUUCAUCAGUUUCACAUAACUGGAAAUAAGCUGUCAGUGUAGUUACUGGUGGCUCUACUACUCUUUGUUCGGCUUUUGCAGCAGUGUAGUAAACACGUUGGUCGUUUUCAAGAUGAACUGCCAAAUGUACAACAACCGGAUGUCUGUCAUGAAUUGGAAACGAUAAAAUACGCCAUACAGCUUCAUUCGUACUAAUAUAGCGCCCCAUUUGGUACUGCAAAAUUUCGUCAUGAUUAUUCUCAGGAGCCACUCCAAAAACAGCCAUAUUGCUGCCCUUAUUCACAUACUUGCAAAUAUAUUUGAUUGAUUUUACAGAAUUGCAAUAUUCUACAUUGUUGUGAGCGUUGAACAUUUUUGACAGCAUCGUUGAUUUACCGUUGUCUUCAGUUGAUCGUCGACGAUACUGUGAUACUGAUA